rnacentral:rRNA from 1 species
GCUGGGGGUGGAUGAGUGGCGAACGGGUGAGUAACACGUGAGUAACCUGCCCCGAACUCUGGGAUAAGCGCUGGAAACGGCGUCUAAUACUGGAUAUGUCCUAUCACCGCAUGGUGUGUAGGUGGAAAGAAUUUUGGUUCGGGAUGGACUCGCGGCCUAUCAGCUAGAUGGUGAGGUAAUGGCUCACCAUGGCGACGACGGGUAGCCGGCCUGAGAGGGUGACCGGCCACACUGGGACUGAGACACGGCCCAGACUCCUACGGGAGGCAGCAGUGGGGAAUAUUGCACAAUGGGCGCAAGCCUGAUGCAGCAACGCCGCGUGAGGGAUGACGGCCUUCGGGUUGUAAACCUCUUUUAGUAGGGAAGAAGCGAAAGUGACGGUACCUGCAGAAAAAGCACCGGCUAACUACGUGCCAGCAGCCGCGGUAAUACGUAGGGUGCAAGCGUUGUCCGGAAUUAUUGGGCGUAAAGAGCUCGUAGGCGGCUUGUCGCGUCUGCUGUGAAAACCAGAGGCUCAACCUCUGGCCUGCAGUGGGUACGGGCAAGCUAGAGUGCGGUAGGGGAGAUUGGAAUUCCUGGUGUAGCGGUGGAAUGCGCAGAUAUCAGGAGGAACACCGAUGGCGAAGGCAGAUCUCUGGGCCGUAACUGACGCUGAGGAGCGAAAGCAUGGGGAGCGAACAGGAUUAGAUACCCUGGUAGUCCAUGCCGUAAACGUUGGGAACUAGAUGUAGGGCCUGUUCCACGGGUUCUGUGUCGUAGCUAACGCAUUAAGUUCCCCGCCUGGGGAGUACGGCCGCAAGGCUAAAACUCAGAGGAAUUGACGGGGGCCCGCACAAGCGGCGGAGCAUGCGGAUUAAUUCGAUGCAACGCGAAGAACCUUACCAAGGCUUGACAUAUAC